UGCUUGCAUCAUGAUUUACAUUGUGAGGUGAGUGGCGAACUGGUGAGUAACACGUGGGAAACCUGCCCAGAAGCGGGGGAUAACACCUGGAAACAGAUGCUAAUACCGCAUAACAACUUGGACCGCAGGUCCGAGCUUGAAAGAUGGCUUCGGCUAUCACUUUUGGAUGGUCCCGCGGCGUAUUAGCUAGAUGGUGGGGUAACGGCUCACCAUGGCAAUGAUACGUAGCCGACCUGAGAGGGUAAUCGGCCACAUUGGGACUGAGACACGGCCCAAACUCCUACGGGAGGCAGCAGUAGGGAAUCUUCCACAAUGGACGAAAGUCUGAUGGAGCAACGCCGCGUGAGUGAAGAAGGGUUUCGGCUCGUAAAACUCUGUUGUUAAAGAAGAACAUAUCUGAGAGUAACUGUUCAGGUAUUGACGGUAUUUAACCAGAAAGCCACGGCUAACUACGUGCCAGCAGCCGCGGUAAUACGUAGGUGGCAAGCGUUGUCCGGAUUUAUUGGGCGUAAAGCGAGCGCAGGCGGUUUUUUAAGUCUGAUGUGAAAGCCUUCGGCUCAACCGAAGAAGUGCAUCGGAAACUGGGAAACUUGAGUGCAGAAGAGGACAGUGGAACUCCAUGUGUAGCGGUGAAAUGCGUAGAUAUAUGGAAGAACACCAGUGGCGAAGGCGGCUGUCUGGUCUGUAACUGACGCUGAGGCUCGAAAGUAUGGGUAGCAAACAGGAUUAGAUACCCUGGUAGUCCAUACCGUAAACGAUGAAUGCUAAGUGUUGGAGGGUUUCCGCCCUUCAGUGCUGCAGCUAACGCAUUAAGCAUUCCGCCUGGGGAGUACGGCCGCAAGGCUGAAACUCAAAGGAAUUGACGGGGGCCCGCACAGCGGUGGAGCAUGUGGUUUAAUUCGAAGCUACGCGAAGAACCUUACCAGGUCUUGACAUACUAUGCAAAUCUAAGAGAUUAGACGUUCCCUUCGGGGACAUGGAUACAGGUGGUGCAUGGUUGUCGUCAGCUCGUGUCGUGAGAUGUUGGGUUAAGUCCCGCAACGAGCGCAACCCUUAUUAUCAGUUGCCAGCAUUAAGUUGGGCACUCUGGUGAGACUGCCGGUGACAAACCGGAGGAAGGUGGGGAUGACGUCAAAUCAUCAUGCCCCUUAUGACCUGGGCUACACACGUGCUACAAUGGAUGGUACAACGAGUUGCGAACUCGCGAGAGUAAGCUAAUCUCUUAAAGCCAUUCUCAGUUCGGAUUGUAGGCUGCAACUCGCCUACA
rnacentral:rRNA from 2 species